rnacentral:misc_RNA from 1 species
AACGCACAUUGCGCCCUCUGGUAUUCCGGGGGGCAUGCCUGUUCGAGCGUCAUUUACACCCCUCAAGCUAAGCUUGGUACUGGGGGCUGCUUCCCCCGUUGGAGGCACCCCCGAAAUGCAGCGGCGGUGCGGCCGGACUUCCUAGCGCAGUGACUUUCAAUCUCGCUACAAGGAGUCCGUGCCUGCCCCGGCCGGAUAACAACCAAUUUUUUUUUACGAUUGACCUCGGAUCAGGUAGGGAUACCCGCUGAACUUAA